GAUGAACGCUUGCGGCGUGCCUAAUACAUGCAAGUCGAGCGAACAGACGAGGAGUUUGCUCCUCUGACGUUAUCUGCGGACGGUUGAGUAACACGUGGAUAACCUACCUCUGCGACUGGGAUAAGUUCGGGAAACCGGAGGUAAGACCGGAUAAUAUGUUGAACCGCAUGGUUCAAUAGUGAAAGACGGUUUUGCUGUCACAUAGUGAUGGAUCCGCGCUGCAUUAGCUAGUUGGUAAGGUAACGGCUUACCAAGGCAACGAUGCGUAGCCGACCUGAGAGGGUGAUCGGCCACACUGGAACUGAGACACGGUCCAGACUCCUACGGGAGGCAGAAGUAGGCAAUCCUACGCGAUGGGCGAAAGCCUGACGGAGCCACGCCGCGUGAGUGAUGAAGGUCUCCGGCUCGUAAAACUAUGUUAUUAGGGAAGAACAAAUGUGUAAGUCACUAUGCACGUCUUGACGGUACCUAAUCAGAAAGCCACGGCUAACUCCGUG
rnacentral:rRNA from 1 species